rnacentral:misc_RNA from 1 species
UAAAAAUUAACCCCCCAUUAUAACCCAAGUUAUCUCCAGAGCCUCGACUUCAAAAUCUACUUUUCAGACAAAGGAGUAAACGUCUGGGAUUUCUGGACUCACAAAUAUCCAUCCCUGAUCGCAGACGAAAGUAACGGAGAUGUUGCUUGUGACACGUACAAUAAGUAUAAGGAAGAUGUACAGAUAAUCAAGAAUUUGGGAUUCAACUUUUUUAGAUUAUCGAUAAGCUGGUCGAGGAUCCUCCCGUCUGGCUUGGCGAAUGAAAUAAGCAAAGAUGGGAUACAAUACUACAAAAAUUUCAUCACCGAAUUAAUAGCUAACGACAUCGAACCCGUUGUGUCACUUUAUCACUGGGAUCAUCCGCAAGUUAU